rnacentral:rRNA from 1 species
AGGAAAUAGAUACCCCGGUAGUCCACGCCGUAAACUAUGGACGCUAGCUGUUAGAAGUAUCGACCCUUCUAGUAGCGAAAGCUAAACGCGUUAAGCGUCCCGCCCUGUGGAGUACGAGCGCAAGCUUAAAACAUAAAGAAUUGACGGGGACCCGGCACAAGCGGUGGAGCGUGUUGUUUAAUUCGAUGCUAAGCGAAGAACCUUACCCAGGUUUGACAUCCUACUAAUUUCUCCGAAAGGAGAGAGUGCCUUCGGGCCGUAGUGACAGGUGUUGCAUGGCCGUCGUCAGCUCGUGUCGUGAGAUGUUUGGUUAAGU